AGUGAACGCUGGCGGUAGGCCUAACACAUGCAAGUCGAACGGCAGCACAGGAGAGCUUGCUCUCUGGGUGGCGAGUGGCGGACGGGUGAGGAAUACAUCGGAAUCUACUCUGUCGUGGGGGAUAACGUAGGGAAACUUACGCUAAUACCGCAUACGACCUACGGGUGAAAGCAGGGGAUCUUCGGACCUUGCGCGAUUGAAUGAGCCGAUGUCGGAUUAGCUAGUUGGCGGGGUAAAGGCCCACCAAGGCGACGAUCCGUAGCUGGUCUGAGAGGAUGAUCAGCCACACUGGAACUGAGACACGGUCCAAUCUCCUACGGGAGGCAGCAGUGGGGAAUAUUGGACAAUGGGCGCAAGCCUGAUCCAGCCAUACCGCGUGGGUGAAGAAGGCCUUCGGGUUGUAAAGCCCUUUUGUUGGGAAAGAAAUCCAGCUGGUUAAUACCCGGUUGGGAUGACGGUACCCAAAGAAUAAGCACCGGCUAACUUCGUGCCAGCAGUCGCAGUAA
rnacentral:rRNA from 1 species